rnacentral:misc_RNA from 1 species
CUUUAUACGAUUCUUUGAUUCAAUCUAGAAUUCACUUCAUCUAUCUCUAUUCUUUUCUUGUUCGCUAUUUGCAUUAGCUGUGCCACAUGGGAUUGGGGCUGAUUUGCAAAGCAAGGAUACACAAUUUCAAAGGGGACCAAUCCAAAUGGAUUCAUACUUGGCUUUGAUUGAACAAUCGUUUAAUACUAGUUACUCUAUCUGGGCACGGGAAGCUCUCGAUGAAUUGCCUGAAUGUUUUACUAUCACCGAUCCUUGCAUCUCCGGCCACCCGAUUAUCUUCGCCAGCAGUGCCUUU